rnacentral:rRNA from 1 species
GAAUAUUGGUCAAUGGGCGAGAGCCUGAACCAGCCAUGCCGCGUGCAGGAAGACGGCCUUCUGGGUUGUAAACUGCUUUUAUCAGGGAACAAAAAGCCCAUGCGUGGGAAAUUGCGUGUACCUGAAGCAUAAGCACCGGCUAACUCCGUGCCAGCAGCCGCGGUAAUACGGAGGGUGCAAGCGUUGUCCGGAUUUAUUGGGUUUAAAGGGUGCGUAGGUGGUUAAUUAAGUCAGUGGUGAAAGCCCACAGCUCAACUGUGGAACUGCCAUUGAAACUGGUUGACUUGAGUAUAGAUGAGGUAGGCGGAAUUUAUGGUGUAGCGGUGAAAUGCAUAGAUACCAUAAAGAACACCGAUAGCGAAGGCAGCUUACUAAACUAUAACUGACACUGAGGCACGAAAGCGUGGGGAGCGAACAGGA